AGGACACAAAAGAAAGGACUGCGUUUCUUUACCAAGACAAGGUGAAUGCUGGCUUCAAAACAGUCCGACAAACACAACCCUUCUCUAGCCCAAUAGAAACAAAGACCUUAGCGCUUCUGACCCUGGGCACAACCCAGCCUCCCUUCCCAGCAGUCCUUGCAAUCACAGACAGAGACCACCAAGGGAUGAGAAAGACACACUGAGAAAGUGUCCUUGUGUCUCCCUGCCGACCCCAUCCCGGGCCCCCGCACUGACCGGUGUGUGCUGCCGCCGAGCU